rnacentral:rRNA from 1 species
UACGUAGGUGUCGAGCGUUGUCCGGAUUUAUUGGGCGUAAAGCGCCCGCAGGCGGCUUGGCAAGUUUGAGGUGAAAUCUCCCGGCUCAACUGGGAGGGUGCCUCGAAAACUGCCAGGCUUGAGUCAUGGAGAGGGAUGUGGAAUUCCAGGUGUAGUGGUGAAAUGCGUAGAUAUCGGGAGGAAUACCAGUGGCGAAGGCGACUACCUGGCCUGUUCUUGACGCUGAGGCGCGAAAGCUAGGGGAGCAAACGGG